GUAUAGCUCACUUGUGGAAACAUCAAUCCGCGCAGACAAAUAGUGCGCUGUCCGCUUUAAGCUGUCAUCUAGCUGUAGUAGAUAUUUCUGCUUUCCGCUAGCGCACAAACAACAUGGCGGCCCUCAUGUGGAACACGUUACCGGACGAAAAAAAGGAAGAAAUUCUAUUAUUAAUUGAAAAUGAACCAAUCAUUUGGGAUAAGAGUAAUCCUGGGCAUAAAAAAGUUAUUGUUGUGGACGCUGCUUGGAGAAGAAUUGCGGAAAAAGUUGCAAUAGAUAGUAAGUAUAAUAUAUUAUUUAAUAACACGUGCUUUUUAUUUGUAGAACAAUGUACAGCUUAAUAAU
rnacentral:lncRNA from 1 species